AUUCGUUGUGAUGACCCAAUGAAAUUCAAGCUCAACAGACCGUAUUGUAGACUUCUCUUUUUAGAGAAUGUUAGGGUUUUAAUCCUAAGUCAAUUUAAUUUAUAAAAAUUGGAAAUGAGU